GACGAACGCUAGCGGCAGGCCUAAUACAUGCAAGUCGAACGGUAAGGUCUCUUCGGAGAUACACGAGUGGCGAACGGGUGCGUAACACGUAUGCAACCUACCUAUCAGAGAAGAAUAGCCUCUGGAAACGGAGAAUAAUACUUCAUAUGCUCACGAGUUGGCAUCAAUUUGUGAGGAAAGUUCCGGCGCUGAUAGAUGGGCAUGCGUCCCAUUAGCUAGUUGGUAAGGUAACGGCUUACCAAGGCUACGAUGGGUAGCUGGUCUGAGAGGAUGAUCAGCCACACGGGCACUGAGACACGGGCCCG
rnacentral:rRNA from 1 species